UACAGAGGUCCCAAGCGUUGUUCGGAUUCACUGGGCGUAAAGGGUGCGUAGGCGGCGCGGUAAGUCGGAUGUGAAAUCUCGGAGCUUAACUUCGAAACUGCAUUCGAUACUGCCGUGCUUGAGGACUGGAGAGGAGACUGGAAUUUACGGUGUAGCGGUGAAAUGCGUAGAUAUCGUAAGGAAGACCAGUGGCGAAGGCGGGUCUCUGGACAGUUCCUGACGCUGAGGCACGAAGGUCAGGGGAGCAAACGGG
rnacentral:rRNA from 1 species